CCCCCUCGGGGCUGGGCAUUGGCAGAACAUCGGCUUGGCCUGGGGGCAGUUCGCCUUGGAGAGCCGGACACGGUGGGAUCCCGGCGUGUGGGCCGGACCGGGGGCGCAGGGUCCUGCCCCUCGCGGCGAAGACUGCGGCCCCGGCGCGCAGGGGGAUGCGGGGAGUAGUGCCCGGCUCUGCGGGACGCGGCCGCGCUCCGCCCACCCCUGGGCGGCGGCGGCGGCAUCGCAGCGGGCAUCUGGUGAGGUCAGCCCCGGGCACGCAGCCGGGGGCGGGAGUGAUAUUGGGGCUCCAGCGUGCAGCCCGGCUCGGGAGCCUGUCACCCUGCGGUCAAAGGACUGUCCCGUCCCCUACACCUGGGGAGGAAGGUAGAGAGGGCCCAGCUGAUAAAAGAUCACGCAAAGGCCCUGAUAGAACUGGAAGUGGUACAAAAACUGAAAGCAGAAGAGCUCCUGAUCAAGCAGAAAACUGAAGCACAUUAUCAGAAGAUCAUUAUUGAACAGUAUCCAAGAAAGAUGACAGCAGAACUGAUCAACAAGUCUGGAACCCCUAAUUUGGCAACGGUUGUAGAGGUUGAUGAGACUGUUAUUUAGAAAAGAAAGUAAGGAGAAGGUUGUGGACAUUUUGGCAGAUGGUAAAGCUGUGGAAACAAACCAGGAACCAUCAAGGGACAAACCUGACAGGGAAGACGACUCAGUACAUGAAUGAGAAUGAGCUGAAUGAAUCACUAACAGGACAUCUCAUGAGGAAGCCUCAAAUGAGAACACUGCAAGCAAAGAUCCCAUAAAGCUUUCUGAGAUGUCUGGUAGAACACAGCAAACCUAGGAAUGAAUAAGACAUGAAAACCAAAGACAUAGUAGUUUCACAUGACAAGUAUGAAUCCAGUGAAGAACUGAAAUUAAUAUAAAGACAAAAAAUAAGGUAUAUGAAUUGACUAAAUUAUCUUCCUCUUGUGUACAGUACUCUGGAAAUAAGUAGGAAAGAGUCUUCCUUUCUGUUCAUGAUGGUCCACAGAUACUAAGGCCCUGAUCCUGAUAUGUAAUAUGUGUGUGCAGACUGGUGUCUGUAUUUGCAUGGGAAAGUAAAAUAAAGCAGUGCACGAUAAAAGACUUUGGAGCAGUUUUUUCUUUAAACUUUCUGUACCUCUUGCAUCCUUGCAUUCUACACCACCUAUUAUAUUGAUUUUUAAAAAUAUGUCCUGGCAAAUAUAAUGACACUACUAAUUUUGUACUCAUAUUUAAUGGAUCCAAUUUGAUUACUGUAUCUGUAAUUGCUAAUUUUGGAAAUAGUGCAUCCUUUAGAACAGUUCUUAAAGUGGUAGACUUUACUAAAUCUCAGUCACAAAGCAAAUGAAACUAGCAUCUUUACAUUUUGCCUGUGAAACAGUAUCCUGGAUUUCUAGUUAAAUAAUUGCAUAAAAUAUCUUCUGAAUAAUUGCUACUGUGCACCUGCUAAAUUUAGAAUUUGUUUAAACUGCUUUGAAGUUUUUAAUAAGGUUUUAGCACAGCUCCUAUGCCAAUCAUAUUUUAAAAUCUAGGUUAUUAAAAGCUAUUUUAUCCUGUAUGUUCAGUUGUCUAUAGGUUUUUUAUGAUUAUGCAUACUUUGGAUCCAAUUUGAAUGAGGGAAGUGUCAAAAAUCAUGUUUUCUUGUAUGUAUUCAGGAGGCCAUCAAAAUAAUUCGGAUCAAAAGUUGUUGGAGUUUUUCCUCAAUAAAAAUGUACCAUUUAAAAGU